GAAAGGUCUUAGAUCGUGGCUGUUCUACUCAGGCUGUUGCAGUAUCAGUGCAUACUCCAGUGCCAUGGGCAUCAUUCUUCAGGAGUUUAUCCUAAUGCUUGUCAUCUCUACAGAUCAGACGGAAUUGAUUGCUUCACUAUGUGUCCUGGAUGCCCCUUCUUUCCGCUUGCUAGUUGCAUCUCCUCUCUGGUGUCUGGCUUCACCAUCUGGAGAGAAGACUCUGGGUCCUGCCCUUCGCUCAAAUUCUGUCUCCUUCAGGCUUGUUUCCCUCGAAUUCUCUGACAUAUUCAUUUCACUAUGUGCUUUUUUUCCACAAGGUCGCACUUUUUUAUUCUCAAGUCUCCAAUCAACUUCACAUUCUAACCCUCUUUCUAUCAAACAAAGCAAAACAGACCAGUUUGGAAUAAUAAUUAUAGUUUACCUGUUCAGACUUCUUCCUCUUUCAGUCUUUACAAACCAUUCCUGCACUACCUUCUACUCCCUCUCUCCCGAGACGCUCACCCGCACGAACACCUGUUUAUCAGCGAAUCCGGUUCCCCAUCACCAUAUUCACUAUAUUCACUUGAGCUUACCUCACCUUACAGUUCAGAUUCUCACCCACUGGUGCCCCAACAUUUACUACAGUUACAUCUGACACUUGUGCACAGCCCACAAAAUCCUGGCUUCUUUUUAGUUUUCAGGAUAUAUUUUUAUUCGUUUGUUCAUCAUCCUCUGUUUCGUCACAUUGUCUUCUUUUGGAGGGACCUGGCUUGAAAACUAUUUCAAGCUGUACUGAACUCUGCCCAAAGCAGCAAAGUGUUGCGAAGAAUUAACAAACUUUUAGGCUAUGGACAAUGCCUCAAUUACAUGAGCUUCUCCCCCUAGUCCUUUAUAUACAUUACCUCCCAGUUGUUUCUCACCUUUGUGACCAACUACCUUGCAACUGCAUCCACCCUGUCACCACCCUCAUCUUCAUCACUCACCUAGCAUCUCAAACCGUACUGAACUGUGACCAAAGGCACAUAAAUCAACAAAAAAAUACCAUCCAUUAUAGCAAAAUUUUUGUUUGUUUAGAUCUUUAAAGUGAUAGAUAUUUACUUUUCUCUAUUUUGCGUAUU